rnacentral:rRNA from 1 species
CACGCAGGCGGUUUGCUCAGUCCCAUGUGAAAGCCCGGGGCUCAACCCCGGAAAUGCAUAGGAUACUGGCAGACUGGAGACAGGUAGAGGCUAGCGGAAUUCCUGGUGUAGCGGUGGAAUGCGUAGAUAUCAGGAAGAACACCUGUGGCGAAGGCGGCUAGCUGGGCCUGUUCUGACGCUCAUGUGCGAAAGCGUGGGAGCAAACA